rnacentral:rRNA from 1 species
GAUGAACGCUGGCGGCGUGCCUAAUACAUGCAAGUCGAGCGAACGGACGAGAAGCUUGCUUCUCUGAUGUUAGCGGCGGACGGGUGAGUAACACGUGGAUAACCUACCUAUAAGACUGGGAUAACUUCGGGAAACCGGAGCUAAUAUCGGAUAAUAUUUUGAACCGCAUGGUUCAAAAGUGAAAGACGGUCUUGCUGUCACUUAUAGAUGUAUCCGCGCUGCAUUAGCUAGUUGGUAAGGUAACGGCUUACCAAGGCAACGAUGCAUAGCCGACCUGAGAGGGUGAUCGGCCACACUGGAACUGAGACACGGUCCAGACUCCUACGGGAGGCAGCAGUAGGGAAUCUUCCGCAAUGGGCGAAAGCCUGACGGAGCAACGCCGCGUGAGUGAUGAAGGUCUUCGGAUCGUAAAACUCUGUUAGUAGGGAAGAACAUAUGUGUAAGUAACUGUGCACAUCUUGACGGUACCUAAUCAGAAAGCCACGGCUAACUACGUG